UUCCUUCUGUCGAGAAUCGUGAACGGACCGUUUGUAAGAAUCCCUUAUGUGCAUGAACCAGGGAGUGUUAUUGAAGGCGGUGUGCAGGCCCGGCAAACAUCACCGGGACGCCUAAAGCCAACGAAAAACACACCCACCUAGCGAAGCUAGGGGUUCUCAUCGGCAUCACGUCUAGGACGGUUGAGCA
rnacentral:other from 1 species